ensembl:lncRNA
CCCCGAACAGCCUCUCUCCACUUUCCCCUCGCACGGCUCUCACAGCAGCAGCCACCGGCCCCCCGAACAGCCUCUCUCCACUUUCCCCUCGCACGGCUCUCACAGCAGCAGCCACCGGCUCCCCGAACAGCCUCUCUCCACUUUCCCCUCGCACGGCUCUCACAGCAGCAGCCACCGGCUCCCCGAACAGCCUCUCUCCACUUUCCCCUCGCACGGCUCUCACAGCAGCAGCCACCGGCUCCCCGAACAGCCUCUCUCCACUUUCCCCUCGCACGGCUCUCACAGCAGCAGCCACCGGCCCCCGAACAGCCUCUCUCCACUUUCCCCUCGCACGGCUCUCACAGCAGCAGCCACCGGCCCCCCGAACAGCCUCUCUCCACUUUCCCCUCGCACGGCUCUCACAGCAGCAGCCACCGGCUCCCCGAACAGCCGAAUGGAACCAAUUUAGACCCCUCCAGCAAGGUGGUUUUGAUGACAUUUGAAAUGCUCACAACGUAAACUUGGCUUAUAAACACCCUAGGUCAAGAGAAGUUUAGAAAGGACUUUUGUAAACACUAGAAAAGGGCUCCUUUUGACCGAUGGGUUGUCAAGUAUUUCAAAUAUCAUUUCAUUUGUCAUUCAGUGUCCAGAUAUUAUAUGAAUAUGUACCUGCAAAAAUUAAUUGGGCAUGGAAAAGAAAAUUCAGGCCAUACACCUUAAUAACUUCUCAUUAGUGAGCUCAGUAAAUAUGGUGGGCAAAUCAAGGUGACUGUGGUCAGCACCUUUAGAGAAACACAAAUACACACUGCUUUAAGGACUCAUGUCAAUGCUAAUAUCAAGCACAGAGGAAAACCCAAAUGUCUGCAGCGACCAGAAAAUAAACACAAAGACGAUAGGAAAAAUAUACUGUGUGUUACAUCUUUUAUGUUCCUGCCAAGAGGGACAGGCCGGUCAUUCAGUUCACCAGGGAUGUUGUGGCAGGAAAAUAACAAACACGCAAUAAAUACUGGGAUUGACAUCAUAUGUCUGGUUUACCGUAUGUAUGACAUGGAACUUCCAGCUUUCUAAAUUGUCAAUCUAUUUGUUUUAGUUUGUGUACUAAAUAGGUCAUUAAGUUUUCAGUCAACCCCACUAAUGAUCAGACAGUAGUA